rnacentral:lncRNA from 8 species
CAAUUAUCUUUUGCUUUUGAAAAUCCACAUCUUUUAAAACUCACUUUUUUUUGUCACCACAGCUCUCAAACUGAAGCAGUGCAUUUCAGCACAGUCCUCAACCACAGUGACUACUUUUUGAGCCAGGUACCCUCUCCAGGAGUGGUUGUCCAAGGCAGCAUCUUCCAACAUGCGUUUACCCCUGCUUUAGUGCUUCAGAAUAAUGGGCAAAGGAUUGAUGGCGCACUAUGUCUUCAAACAGAAGAAUCGCCCAAGAAAAAUCCUUCUCUCCUACAACCUGCAGUUGUGUUGUCAGGUGAUGACAAGGAAGUAACCUCAGUCUGUUCUGGUACGCCAACGUCAGGGACUAGUCACUCCUCACCAACGCCCUCUGGUGGCAGUUUGGAGACAGUCGCUGAUGAUGAUUUCACAAGCAAUUACUUUACCAACUCCAAAACCAGACUACCAAGGAAGAAGCGAAUGAAAGACCCGGUAUCAGAAACACUCAAUGCUGUGUAGCCGUAGUCUGUCAGUGAUCAAAGGUCAAUUGGAUUUUUGAUAAGAAUCUUGACUGGUAAAACGACUUAGUCAAGGGACAUGUCACAUUUGAGUGACCUAUCAGUACACACCAAAUACAACCCUAAUGUAUGUGAUUUUGUUUAUACCUAUUAACACCAUCUGUUAUGUCAUGUUUUUCACUUAUUUUAAUGCUUCCCUUCAAAGUUUGGAAAGUUGGUCCCAGACAAACCCACCACAAAACGGCGAAGAGUAAAACAGAAUCAUCCCACAUCACCUCCUCCUAAAAAGACAUCUGCUGACAUUUCUGAGGGGAUUGAUGUGGUCUGCAGAUGUAUGAGAGUGGGAACAAUGUGCAGGACACCUCCCAAGCAUGUCACCGUAAGCUUAUUUUUAUCAUUUCAGUAUAAUAUUGAGUACAGUAUUUCAAAAUUAAAACUCUUUACCAAUAGAGAACAC